UGGGGAAUAUUGCGCAAUGGGCGAAAGCCUGACGCAGCGACGCCGCGUGGGUGAUGAAGGCCUUCGGGUCGUAAAGCCCUGUCGGGAGGGACGAAACCUCGGUGACCUAAUACGUCACCGACCUGACGGUACCUCUUAAGGAAGCACCGGCUAACUCCGUGCCAGCAGCCGCGGUAAUACGGAGGGUACGAGCGUUGUUCGGAAUUACUGGGCGUAAAGCGUGCGCAGGCGGUUUUGUAAGACAGAGGUGAAAUCCCCGGGCUCAACCUGGGAACUGCCUUUGUGACUGCAAGGCUGGAGUGCGGCAGAGGGGGAUGGAAUUCCGCGUGUAGCAGUGAAAUGCGUAGAUAUGCGGAGGAACACCGAUGGCGAAGGCAAUCCCCUGGGCCUGCACUGACGCUCAUGCACGAAAGCGUGGGGAGCAAACA
rnacentral:rRNA from 1 species